rnacentral:tRNA from 1 species
GUCUCUGUGGCGCAAUCGGUUAGCGCGUUCGGCUGUUAACCGAAAGGUUGGUGGUUCAAGCUUCCACCCAGGGACG